AACGACUGCUAAGACUGGAUAGGAGAUAAGAAGGCAUCUUUUUAUUUUUAAAAGACCUAGCAAUAGGUAUGCUUAGGGAAGAGCUUGCGUCACAUUAGUUAGUUGGUGGGGUAAUGGCCUACCAAGACGAUGAUGUGUAGCCGGGCUGAGAGGUCGAACGGCCACAUUGGGACUGAGACACGGCCCAAACUCCUACGGGAGGCAGCAGUAAGGAAUUUUCGGCAAUGGAGGAAACUCUGACCGAGCAAUGCCGCGUGAACGAUGAAGUAUUUCGGUACGUAAAGUUCUUUUAUUAGGGAAGAAAAGAUGGUGGAAAAACCAUUAUGACGGUACCUAAUGAAUAAGCCCCGGCUAACUAUGUGCCAGCAGCCGCGGUAAUACAUAGGGGGCAAGCGUUAUCCGGAAUUAUUGGGCGUAAAGGGUGCGUAGGCGGUUAAAUAAGUUUAUGGUCUAAGUGCAACGCUCAACGUUGUGAUGCUAUAAAAACUGUUUAGCUAGAGUUGGAUAGAGGCAAGUGGAAUUCCGUGUGUAGUGGUAAAAUGCGUAAAUAUACGGAGGAACACCAGAAGCGAAGGCGGCUUGCUGGGUCUUAACUGACGCUGAGGCACGAAAGCGUGGGGAGCAAACAGGAUUAGAUACCCUGGUAGUCCACGCCCUAAACGAUGAGUACUAAACGUUGGAUAAAACCAGUGUUGAAGUUAACACAUUAAGUACUCCGCCUGAGUAGUACGUACGCAAGUAUGAAACUUAAAGGAAUUGACGGGACUCCGCACAAGCGGUGGAUCAUGUUGUUUAAUUCGAAGGUACCCGAAAAACCUCACCAGGUCUUGACAUGCUUUUGCAAAGCUGUAGAAAUACAGUGGAGGUUAUCAGAAGCACAGGUGGUGCAUGGUUGUCGUCAGCUCGUGUCGUGAGAUGUUGGGUUAAGUCCCGCAACGAGCGCAACCCUUGUUGUUAAUUGCCAUCAUUAAGUUGGGGACUUUAGCAAGACUGCCAAUGAUAAAUUGGAGGAAGGUGGGGACGACGUCAAAUCAUCAUGCCCCUUAUGACCUGGGCUACAAACGUGAUACAAUGGCUGUGACAAAGAGUAGCUGAAACGCGAGUUUUUAGCCAAUCUCAAAAAAGCAGUCUCAGUUCGGAUUGAAGCCUGUAACUCGACUUCAUGAAGUUGGAAUCGCUAGUAAUCGCGAAUCAGCAUGUCGCGGUGAAUACGUUCUCGGGGUUUGUACACACCGCCCGUCAGACCACGAAAGUUGGCAAUACCCAAAGCCGGUGGCCUAACUUGAGCAAUCAAGAAGGAGCCGUCUAAGGUAGGGUUGAUGAUUGGGGUUAAGUCGUAACAAGGUAUCCCUACCGGAAGGUGGGGAUGGAUCACCUCCUUU
rnacentral:rRNA from 1 species